UCAAUAGUUUUUAAUCCUGGUGUAUAUGACAAUCACCUGGGGAGCUUUUAAAAAUUACAAUGUCCCCUUCUGUGAUUUUGAUUCAAUCAAUCUACAAUAGGUCUUGAGCUGUACAUGGCUUUAGACAUUUCCCAGCUGUUUGCAAUAUGAAACAUUGGUUGAUAAUCACUGGAUUCGAUGUGGUCAAGUCUUUCACUUAUGCUGAAGAGAAUGCAUAAAAAUUAGUGAUACAUGGUCAUUUCUGCUUGGAGAAACAGUUCUGAUUUACAGUUGUUACCUGCAUUUCUGCCCCUCCUCCCAGUCCUUUCAGGUGUGUGAAUUCCCCUUUGCUUUGCAGGACUUUGGCUUCCCAGUCAGCUCCUGCCCUUGACAUGUUUUAAUGCUCCUUUGAAAAACAAUUCUUAAAUAAUCAGAUUUCAAGUAUUCCAAUAUUUUUAAUAUCUUACAUAUUAUCUUUAAUGUCAUUACCUUUUUCAACUUCUCCCUUUGAUCCUUUCCAAUAUAUAUAUAUAUAUAUAUAUAUUACAUUAUAUGCACAUAAUGUGUACAUAUAUAUAAAACAUAAUUAUAUUACAUAUAUGUAACAAUUAUAUUUUAUACACACACACACACACACAAACAAACAUAAGGGCCAUUUAAAUCCCUGCACAGUUCUUUAAAUAAGUGGGCUCUAAUAUCAUGACACUUUCUGAACUGGAUCCAGCCCUAAAGAAAUCACCCACUCUGUUUUCUCCCAGAUAAGAGGAUUAGAAUAAGACUCACCCAAAUCCCAUAUUUUCAUGUUAAUCAUUGUAACCAAUGAAACAAAAUCAACUGGGGUAUUUCUACAUCUCCAAACAUGACUAAGUGAUGCUAUAAAUUAAUAAUAAUAAUAAUAAUAAUAAUAAUAAGGAAUUCUUCUUCUUUCUUUCUUUCUUUCUUUUUUUUUUUUUUGAGAUGAAGUCUCACUCUGCAGCCCAGGCUAGAGUGCAGUGGUGGGAUUUCAGCUCACAGCAACCUCUGCCUGCUGGGUCCUUGUUCAAGCAAUUCUCCUACUGCAGCCUCUCAAGUAGCUGGGAUUACAGGCACAAGCCACCAUGCCCAGAAACUCAAGAUCACCUUGACAAUGAUUGCACCAUUUGAACCAUUUGAGAAAGAACAGCAGAGCAAUUUUACCAGGAACUAAAUAGUUUCAAAUGGGCUGAGAUACUGAUUCCAGAC
rnacentral:lncRNA from 13 species